rnacentral:rRNA from 1 species
AUUGAACGCUGGCGGCAUGCCUUACACAUGCAAGUCGAACGGUAACGGGCCUUCGGGUGCCGACGAGUGGCGAACGGGUGAGUAAUACAUCGGAACGUGCCCGAUCGUGGGGGAUAACGAGGCGAAAGCUUUGCUAAUACCGCAUACGAUCUACGGAUGAAAGCAGGGGACCGCAAGGCCCUGCGCGGACGGAGCGGCCGAUGGCAGAUUAGGUAGUUGGUGGGAUAAAAGCUUACCAAGCCGACGAUCUGUAGCUGGUCUGAGAGGAUGAUCAGCCACACUGGGACUGAGACACGGCCCAGACUCCUACGGGAGGCAGCAGUGGGGAAUUUUGGACAAUGGGCGCAAGCCUGAUCCAGCCAUGCCGCGUGCAGGAUGAAGGCCUUCGGGUUGUAAACUGCUUUUGUACGGAACGAAAAGCAUUCUUUUAAUACAGGAGGGUCAUGACGGUACCGUAAGAAUAAGCACCGGCUAACUACGUG